UAAACAUUUAACAUAUACACAUUGUAAAUGUCAUUAAAAUGAUUUUAUGAAGUUUCAUGAAGGAUGGUACAGCCAGUGUUGAUCUGUAUGACUUAAUUAAACACAGAUAUUGAUACCUUCAGAUAUAUACCUGUGAAAUCUUCAGUGUCACCGUUCAGCUAUUGUUCAAGAUCAGUGUCUGCAGCUUGCACAGUUCAGUGUAGAGGAGCCUUCUGAAUCCACUUUGUUACAUAUUUGCUGUUAUUGUAGGACACGCAUGUAGAGAGCAGCAAGUCCUGUCCAGCCGUGCAUGUAAAUGUGAUUCAGAAACUUUGAGAAUAUGUAAACAUUACACUGUUAUAAUUUUCAAAAUACUGUGUCUUGUAGUGUAUCAGUACUGUUUUGUCUCAGUUUAUAGCACAGUAGUUCACAAAUCAAACAUAAGACCAUAGUGAUCAGUAUUAUUAAAAUCAUUAAUUAUUUGUAUGGUGACAAAAUUUAAUUUCGUGCAAUACCACAGUAAAACGUUUGAUAAUUUUCGCUUUUAAAGUUGUAAGUUUAAGGUUGGCAUAAUUUUUUUUUUCUUUCAUAAAUCUAAAAAGUGAUUGGUCAUUAUAACUGCAAUAUUAUUUUAGUAUGACAAAGUUUAUAUUGAACUAAAACACUAAUGUAAAUUUUUGAACUAAUCAAUGCAUUUU
rnacentral:lncRNA from 1 species